UACGUAGGGGGCAAGCGUUGUCCGGAUUUAUUGGGCGUAAAGAGCGUGUAGGCGGCCAAACAGGUCCACUGUGAAAACUCGAGGCUCAACCUCGAGAGGUCGGUGGAAACCGUCUGGCUAGAGUCCGGAAGAGGAGAGUGGAAUUCCCGGUGUAGCGGUGAAAUGCGCAGAUAUCGGGAAGAACACCCGUGGCGAAGGCGGCUCUCUGGGACGGUACUGACGCUGAGACG
rnacentral:rRNA from 1 species